ensembl:lncRNA
AUGCUUAUUCUAGGCUUGGGCCAGGCAGGGGGAACCCUCAGGACGCAGACACGGUCGUUUACCACGAAGGAGCAAGAGACUCAGAGCGGGCUUCCUGGAGGAGGUGUCUCCCCCAAGCCAGGGCAGGGUGGCCCCAGUGCCCUGGGACUCGGGUCCACCACGCUAGACCACCUCUCCCGAAUAACGAAUAACGGCAGCCAAGCUCUGCAGGAGGCAAGCACUUCCUUUGUGAGCCGGAGAGACUUCCAGAUCGCUGAAAAUGAGCAGCCGAUAAAAAUACAAUUCCAGUCCCUCGAGCCACACCUCCUGGCGGUUUUGCAAACAGCCGACUCUGGAAAAAGCAGACUUGUGUGGCUUCAUCGUCUCUCAAGUCACAAUUCAGCCUCGCGGAGUCGGGGCACAGGCUGCCCUCUGGCGGUCUGUCCCCUGCGAAGACACCCCCUCCCCACCACUUAAGAGCAGUCGAGCAGAAAAUCCACGGGGAGCAUUUGAACCACAAGCACCUGUUCCACGUCACCUUCCCGACUCCUGAUUUAAGGUCUAACAAACAAAUACGUGUCAUCCCCGCUCCUGAUUCAGGCUGUGGUUUCUAUGACAUUUCCUGACUUGCCUUCAGCAAGACAAGAACAUUUUCUCCUAAAGACGGACUCUUCCGACUGAAAAGUGGCUUUGUCAGUCAACCAGAGAGACGAGGAGAGCUUUGAAAAGCAGAGACUCUCCAUGCUGAUGUGUGUGUUCGGCGUUUGGUCCAUGUUCUGGGGAGCAGGUGUCGUUGGAGACACCCCAAGAGAAUGUCCAGCAGGGCAGCAGGGUAUGGGGUUAAGAGGACCACACUGCCUGGGUUCAGACCCACGUCUGCCUCUUGCUAGCUGGGUGAUCCUAGGCAAAUCACUAAAAUUCUGCAUGCCUCAGUUUCCUUCUCGGUAAAACGAGGAUGCUAGUAGAAUCUAUCUCGUGGAGUUGUGAGGAUCAAACGAGUUUAUGUGCAUAAGGUUCUUGGAAUAGUGCCGGGCCCAUGGCAGGUGCUAUGUGUUUGAGACUGUUGUGGUGACGGCUUCAGGGUGCAAGGUCUCAGCAACCCAGCCCCUUGAAAUGUGGAUAAGAAUGUGGCCAAGGGUGGCUCAGCGGUUUAGCACCGCCUUCAGCCCAGGGCCUGAUCCUGGAGUCCUGGGAUGGAGUCCCAUGUCGGGCUCCCUGCAUGGAGCCUGCUUCUCCCUCUGCCUGUGUCUCUGCCUCUCUCUCUCUCUCUUUGUCUCUCAUGAAUAAAUAAAUAAAAUCUUUUUAAAAAUUAAAAA